UGAUAAGAGAAGGAAUUGAACCUCCCUUUACAGGGCUACAACCUGCCGCUUAAACGCUCAGCCAUCUUACCU
rnacentral:tRNA from 1 species